rnacentral:lncRNA from 1 species
UUACAACCCAAAAAUAAAUAAUAAAUAAGGUAAACUAAAGAAAACCAAUCACUUAUUUCAAAAGCCCAAAAGCUAUCACCAUGGCCACUCUGAAUCCCCUCCGGCUCCAAGCCCCCACAUUAAGGUUCACCUAUAAGGUUUAGAAACGGGGUGAGUUUAUGAAAACUCAGUGUGUAAUCCCAAUAACAAACAAACAGUGAAUAACACGGUAUUAGUACAAUCUGGGCCAAAGCCCUAUUCAUUCUCGACACAUACUGGGCCGAAUCCUUUCGUUUAACGGUUACUGGGCUGAAGCCUUUUCAUAAAUCAUAUCACUGGGCCGAAGCCUUUACUGUAAACGAUAUGGCCCAUAGGCCCAUUUCACUAUCACAUGAAAUACCAAUGAAUGUAUGCAAGCCCAUUUGGGGAGACUACUCAACCCACCAUCCGCUACUCUCCACCCAUAAAAACCAAGCUCUCCAUGUGGGGAAUAACUCAACCCACCCAACCAAACUCUCCACUGGCAGCAUAGCUGCUUUAUCAUAUAACUGGAGGCCUAGCCUCUUUUAAUAACUAGGGCAAAGCCCUUUUUGAUAAACUGGGGCAAAGCAAUUUUCGGUAAAUUGGGGCAAAGCCCUUUUCGGUAAACCGAGGCAUAGCCCUUUUAGCACUUCCUCCAUUUAUAAAACCCAACCCAUGCAACAUGUCAUGUAUGCAGAAUGUCAUGCCCAUAUUUGAAUCAAACAAUCACAGUCAAGUCAUUCAUAUCACCAACAUAUAUUCACAAUCAAAUACGUCAACCACACAGUCCAAGUCAGUCACUUGCCCACAAGGGCAAAACAGUUAUUUAACACCCUAGGGGCAAAAUGGUAAUUUUACCCCAAAAGGGUAUCUCGAUAAUUCUACCCUAUAGGGGUAUUUCGGUAUUUCUACCCUACAAGGGUAUUUCGGUAAUUCUACCCUACAAGGGUAUUUCAGUAAUUCUACCCUACAGGGGUAUUUUGAUAAUUCUACCCUACAGGGUUAUUUCAGUAAUUCUACCCUACAGGGGUAUUUCGGUAAUUCUAUCCUACAGAGGUAUUUCGGUAAUUCUACCGUAUACGGGUAUUUCGAUAUUUUACAAAUCGAGAGUAUUUUGAUAAUUUCACAAAUCAGGGGUAUUUUGGUAAUUUUACAAGCCAGGGGUAUUUUGGUAAUUUUAUAAACCAGGGAUAUUUUAGUAAUUUUACAAACCAGGGGUAUUUUGGUAAUUUUACUGAUCGAGGGUAUUUUGGUAAUUUUGUAAACCAAGGGUAUUUUAGUAAUUUUGUAAAUUGAGGGUAAAACGGUAAUUCUGUAAAUCGAGGGUAAAACAGUAAUUUUGUAAAUCAAGGGUAAAACUAUAAUUCUAUAAAUCGAGGGUAAAAUGGUAAUUCUGUAAAUCGAGGGUAAAAUAGUAAUUUUAUAAAUCGAGGGUAAAAUGGUAAUUCUAUAAAUUGAGGGUAAAAUGGUAAUUCUAUAAAUAGAGGGUAAAACGGUAAUUCUGUAAAUUGAGGGUAAAACGAUAAUUUUACAAAUUGAGGGCAUUUCAGUAAUUUGGUAAACUAAAGUAUUUUAAACAGGGAUAACAAUACGAAUGAGCCUAAAGCCUAUUCUCGGCCCAAAUGGGCCCACAUGCUCGUGUGGCCCUUUUAGCCCAAAUCUAACCACAAAUAUGAGAUUCACCUAGCCUAGUCCAAUAUUUACUACACAAUCAAACAACUUAUCCAAUUAGGCCCAUAGGCCCAUUGGGCCCACAUGACCCCUUUCGGCCCAUCGCGGCCCGAAGUAGCCAUCCUAUAGCUAGAGUAGUGAGAAAUACACACUUGAUUGGUGACUGGAAUUAAUCCAUGCUCCGAGCACUCUUAGCCGACGCCCAACCCAAACGAGCACGCUAUAAAGCGAAAG